GAAAAAUCAAAAAUGGAAAGCAUCCAACCAACACAUCCACCCCAUACACUCACAUAUAUUACAACCAACUGUUGAUGAACCUCACAAUGUACAAAGCAACAGAAGCAAAAGAAUAUGACAAAAUAGAGAAAAGGAGAGAUGAAAGUCUCAAGGCCUCUAGAAAUACAAUCAGAUCCUCCUAUCUAUAUCUUCCCAUCAAUUUUUGCAAGUUGAUCAGCAAAUGAGUUUGCUUCACUCGGUGCGCGUACAAUGGCCACUUGGCAGGGAUGGCAUCAGAUUAAGGCAAGAUUUUAUUGUGUACAUCAACUCGUAUUUAUUUUCUAUCCAGAGUCAUCAACCUUGUGCAGCUGCUAAUGGAAGGGAACUUGCAACUUCUUCCUACCAUUGUAAUCGAGCCUCUAAGAUUUUCUUUCUGAUGGAAGAGAGCUGAGCAAUAAUAUCACCAAUAUUCAUGCGCUCUUGUGGUGAU
rnacentral:misc_RNA from 1 species